rnacentral:lncRNA from 1 species
AUUCAUUUGGUGACCCCCGACUUUUGGACAUUUAACCGUUCAUCUGGAGUAUUGUUCCCGAUUUGGAACUGGGAUUUAUUUGGAAAAUCCUACAUAAUUGGUUAACUUGACGACCAAUUUACAAACAUACGUCAUCAAUCACAGUUGUGAUUUAUCAUUACCUUCUGCGAAGGAAAACUAGCUGGUUUUAUUUAAAUCUACCCAAAGCGAUACAGUCAACUUGGCGACUAAGGUUGGAUUAAAAAAAAAAAAACACAGUUCGACAUUGUCAUUAAAAAAUUUGUUAGUCUACUUUGACCACCUUUUUUGGUUGUGAGUAGAGGCACAGCCUGUCAUAACGACAAACAAAUUACCUCCAUCGGGUCAAAGUAGUACGGCAAAUAAUAAAAAAUGGCAUCAUCAAGCAUUAAUGUUGUGCUGGACAGGCAAUUGGCCACGGGCGAAGAGAUCCAAAACAUCAUCAGGAACUACAAAAAGGAUCCCUCUGAAAGGAAGCAGCAGCCUGAAUAUUUUCAAACCCGACUUGAGAGGUUAAUGAAUCUCUGGAAAACAUUUUUAAUGGAAGACACAAACAUUCAAGAAAUAACUCAUGGCGCGAAAUAUGAGCACAAGUAUUUCUCUAAUAAAUAUU